GACGAACGCUGGCGGCGUGCUUAACACAUGCAAGUCGAACGGAAAGGCCCUGCUUUUGUGGGGUGCUCGAGUGGCGAACGGGUGAGUAACACGUGAGUAACCUGCCCUUGACUUUGGGAUAACUUCAGGAAACUGGGGCUAAUACCGGAUAGGAGCUCCUGCUGCAUGGUGGGGGUUGGAAAGUUUCGGCGGUUGGGGAUGGACUCGCGGCUUAUCAUCUUGUUGGUGGGGUAGUGGCUUACCACGGCUUUGACGGGUAGCCGGCCUGAGAGGGUGACCGGCCACAUUGGGAAGGAGAGACGGCCCAGACUCCUACGGGAGGCAGCAGGGGGGAAUAUUGAACAAGGGGCGGAAGCCUGAUGCAGCAACGCCGCGGGCGGGAUGACGGCCGUCGGGUUGUAAACCGCUUUCGCCUGUGACGAAGCGUGAGUGACGGUAAUUGGUAAAGAAGCACCGGCUAACUACGUG
rnacentral:rRNA from 1 species